AUUUGCCAUGCGCCCUGUUCCUAUCGAUAUGUACACCCUGUGUGACACGACUACCUGUCAAGAAAAGGGGGGGACUUCAGAACUUCUCUAGGGGGUUCUCCAGGACUAGGGUUUGCAGACGAUGGGAGCAGCUGAAAACACUGGUCCAUGACAUGCUGCAAAGAGGUCUGUAACAGAAGACUUAUUUCCUGGACAUACAACUUCAUUGCCACAGGACAUUCAGGAAGAAGGUUUCCACACACAGCGUUUUAAUGCUCAAAAAUGCACAGUCUACGCUCAAGCUAAGACUCUAAAUGGACUACUAGGUCUUGAAGUCUCUGACUUGCACUGACUGAGCUUCUAAAUAACAGAUUUUAGUUACACAUAUAAUUUUUUGAGUAUUUAUUAAAAUCAAUAAAAGAAUUAUAAAAAGUG